rnacentral:rRNA from 1 species
CCUACGGGAGGCAGCAGUGGGGGAUAUUGCACAAUGGGGGAAACCCUGAUGCAGCGACGCCGCGUGAGUGAAGAAGUAUUUCGGUAUGUAAAGCUCUAUCAGCAGGGAAGAAAAUGACAGUACCUGACCAAGAAGCCCCGGCUAACUACGUGCCAGCAGCCGCGGUAAUACGUAGGGGGCAAGCGUUAUCCGGAUUUACUGGGUGUAAAGGGAGCGUAGACGGUUAUGUAAGUCUGGAGUGAAAGCCCGGGGCCCAACCCCGGGACUGCUUUGGAAACUGUGUGGCUGGAGUGCAGGAGGGGUAAGCGGAAUUCCUAGUGUAGCGGUGAAAUGCGUAGAUAUUAGGAGGAACACCGGUGGCGAAGGCGGCUUACUGGACUGUAACUGACGUUGAGGCUCGAAAGCGUGGGGAGCAAACAGGAUUAGAUACCCCUGUAGUC